rnacentral:lncRNA from 1 species
GUAGUUGGAGGUGGCCUGAGGAGCUCAGUUCCCUCAGCGCCCGUAGCUUCGGCGGAGUCUGCGCGAUGGGCGACCCGGAAAGGCCGGAAGCGGCCGGGCUGGAUCAGGAUGAGAUGGAGUCUUGCUCUGUCACCAGGCCUGAGUGCAGUGGCGUGAUCUCAGCUCACUGCAAUCUCUGCCUUCUGGGUUCAAGUGAUUCUCCUGCCUCAGCCUCCCGAGUAGCUGGGACUACAGAGAUCAUCUUCAGACACCAACGAAAGUGAAAUAAAGUCAAAUGAAGAGCCACUCCUAAGAAAGAGUUCUCGCCGGUUUGUCAUCUUUCCAAUCCAGUACCCUGAUAUUUGGAAAAUGUAUAAACAGGCACAGGCUUCCUUCUGGACAGCAGAAGAGGUCGACUUAUCAAAGGAUCUCCCUCACUGGAACAAGCUUAAAGCAGAUGAGAAGUACUUCAUCUCUCACAUCUUAGCCUUUUUUGCAGCCAGUGAUGGAAUUGUAAAUGAAAAUUUGGUGGAGCGCUUUAGUCAGGAGGUGCAGGUUCCAGAGGCUCGCUGUUUCUAUGGCUUUCAAAUUCUCAUCGAGAAUGUUCACUCAGAGAUGUACAGU